CAGCAGCAGAUUUCAGUGCCUGAAUCCUUUUGUGGAUCGAAUUGCAGGUACCGCAGGACUCGGACUGAUGGAUAAAGAGUCUUACUCUGUUACUGAGAUGCUGCAGUUGGAAGGAAGGAGUCUGCAACCUUUGCUGUAACUGGAUCAGCCUGGAGAGACUGCUGUUCUCUCAAGGAGCUCUGCUUAAGUCAAAGUGAUUUGCAGAACCAGGGCCUUGGACGCUCUAUCUUCUGGAGGUGUGCACAACUCUGUUCCAAAUAGCACACCAGAUAUUUUAUUCCACUAAUGUUACAUUGUCAUUCAAACUCCUGUUUCAUUGGGAAGAUGGUGAAAGUUGUAAAACUUGAGUUGGACGAAACCCAGCUUGCACUUAGUUGGCAGUUGAGUUUAAGCAAAAAGUAGAUUGUAUACCUUCUACCUGCACUGUGAUUUGAGAAUUAAUUCAACAAACACCAGCAACAAAGGAGUGAGAGCUCAUGAAAGAACAUAGAAAGAGCUCAUCUAAGAGAAUUUCGAUUACUUCAGUGCUUUCAGAAGGACUAGGCCUAAAUAAAAUUCACAUUUAAAGUGCUUAGAGAACUGGCUGCUCAGGCUCUGAGCUUUUAGUUGGUGAAGUGUAGGAAGGCUGGAAAAGGGCACCAGAAGAGCUUGUCUUCAAGAGGCAGAAAAAGAAAGUCACAAGGGAAUUCCAGAGCAGUCAGGUCCCUGACUAUAAAUAAACAAAUAGAUAAAAUAUGCUAAUAGCUAGCCAGACUGACAAAACAAUAGUCAAUACUAGGUUUAUUGAGAACAAAUCAUGUGAAACCAACUUAAUGUAUCUUUUUGUGGCAAGGUAACCAGUCUUGUAUAAAUCCUGCUCUUCCGUGCAUGUACAUUAGCAAGGGCAUCACAAAGAAACUACCUUCUUACACUGUUUCAUUGUCUUGCAGUAUUUCUCAGUCCUUUCGGAGAACAGGAUUUAAUCCAGUGCUUUAGCCUUCUCUUUUUAAAAUGAAAUCCUUCUAAAGGGUUGCUUGGGGUAUAUGAAGUCAACCAACCUGAAGCUUCAACAGGUCUUAGGGGCACCUUUGUUCUGUAUGUUAGAGCUAAAAUAUUUUGCUUCUGUGUUCUGUAAACAGAUAGCAGAUGGCAACUAUGUAACAGCUUUAAAGCUGAUACAAAAGAGCACUAAUUUGCAACUUGCAACUUUCCAAAAAGAUAAACCAAAAAUCCAUCCAUUUGCCCACUUUGCAAACAUUUAACCUAUGGUUAGAUUUUUAUACUCAAACAGUGCAAUACUGCAGUUGGCUUAAGCCAACCUAAAAUUACAUUGUCUCUGAAGGAGCCUGCCGUCCCCUUUUUGUGUCGGUGCUAGUAUUCACACGGUUGUAUUGGCGUUCACGUGGUUGAACAGUAACUGAAUCAGCUCAAUGAUCUCACUU